ensembl:lncRNA
CAAAAGCCCAUACAACCGACAUCACAGAAGGCCUGUUUACCUUGGAUGACCACUUUGGCCGUUUGCUACACAUGUCCCUCCAGUCUCCCCACUGACAGAGGUGAAACUGAGGGCUCUCUUCCAACCAUAAGGACAAAGCACACCAGAGUUUUCUGGCCCCGGGCUCAACAUACGCCAACCAUACAGAACUCUGGGAAAGAACACUGUGUAAUCCAGCAAACAGCCACUUCCCUCCAUCACCAUGAAAACCAACUACUCAGAGACUGUCACCCAGGAAACGGGAUGAAGAGAUCUCCAGCCAGAGGGCAAUGCAGUCCCACAGCCAACACUCAGCCCGGUUCCAACAUCACCGACUGCUCUGUUCUCUUUUCUCCCAACCCCACCAAAAUCGUUUCGUUCUUCUAUCUGUCCUGACUGACUCACAUGUGCAGUAGCCAUGACUCACUCACAUGUGAAAUAGGAUUACUAUGUCCUAAUACACACAUACUGUGCCCGUAACAAUGCCCCCCUCCCCCCUCAAACAGAAAUCCAGAUUAGGAACAAUGUGAAAUCACUCAUUGUUUGUCCUUGCAAAAGCACAUGUAUCCCUCCUCACUCUGAAUUACAUACUGUAAUGUACUUCCUUUACUCUAUGUCCAUCAGACUGUUUGCUAUAUGGAGCAAGUAUCACAGUUUAAACAGCAGUAUACAUUCACUUUCUAUUCGUUCUUUAACUCUGCAGUCCCAGAGACUGCUGCUAGUCAUGCAGUGGCCAGCCCCAUACAACCUGAGUUACAGCAUGUUAGCAUGUGUAAUUAGAAGGAGGCAAUAGUAUGUUUCUUGGAAUUUUUCCAUCAACAAAGAAAACAUUUACUGUCACUGAAUGUUUGAUAAAUCAUGACAUUGCCAAGAAAGCACUAUACUCUCAAUAUAUCUGACGGAUUUGCUGCGGUUUACUAAAGAUUACAUCCUUAUUCUGUAUUAGGUCAACAACCCGUUGGUGCUUCAUCACAAUCACGUGUAAACUCAAUGAAGGGCCAUUUGUCUCACCCUCCACUGAAUAAACACUCCAGCACAACAGCCAUAAUGUGCAGAAAAUGCAUUUACCCUCCCCUUAGCUCAUCAAUCACCCGUUUACAUUAUAUUCAGGGCCUGGGAAUAAAACAUGAGCUGCACGUUCAGAAAUCCAUAUGCAUCAUCAUAGUCUGCAUGCUUUUAAUUUGCCAUAUGGGCUUGGCUGAAACUGUAUUGAUUUUCUUCCUUUUCUCUUCCUUUGUGUUUGGAGUGAAAAGCAUGUUCUUCUCUACAUAUGUAACCAGCAAAAUCAUCCAUUUCAUUUAACAAAGCCCUGGUUUUCACAUGUGUGUAAUAUGAAUUUACUCCCUUUUAUACAUCUUGGUUGGCUACGGCCCAUAUGGCCCAGAGACUGUGUCUAUCCACUAUCACUAUAUUUUCCUUUUCCAUUUGCACCUAAUAUUUUUCUGUCACCACCAUUCUCAACGGUAAUGAUGGGUACUGCUGAUAAGAAAACGUGAUUGUGAACUAGUCUCAACAGUAAUGAUGGGUACUACUGAUAAGAAAACGUGAAUGCUUUAGCGAUGGCUCGUUGAGCUAGGGCUUUUCCUGUAAAAUAGCUUUCUGUUCCACAGUCCAGUUAAAAAACUCACUUUUUACUAUAUGGCAUAAAACCCAGCCCCAAUGGGAUGUAACUGGAUGAGAAACUGUCCAUGGCAUUUUACAAGGGAUUAGGAAUUGCCAAUUUGAGUGUGAUUGGAAGGAAGUAAGUUACAUUACAUGUAAUAAAUG